CUAAUUAAACCUCAGACCUUGUUUGCAUGUUAAGAGUUAGCAGGACAAUCCUUUGCUACUGGGGACCCGCCACUGACCCCAGGGCUUUCUUGUAUCAAGAGGAACAAAAUGGCAUGAGAUUGGGACCUGGGAGCAGGCCCCACACCAGGUGUGACAUGCCUGUGCUCAGCCAAGGGGUUUAACUGCCUGUGGAGUCUGGGGCCCAGGGCCCUGCUGCCUGUCCAGUGUUUGCGUGGGAAUGUCUUGGGCCUGGGGAUGUAGAGCCCAGGUUCUGGGACCAGCCCUUCCUGCCCUGGUGUCUUGGUUUCCUAGAAUCUUGGUGCGAUUCGGUGGUUAGGCUGAUCUCAGGGUUCCUUUCAGCAGCAGUGGCAGCCGUGACCACCUACUAUGGACCAGCUUCUGCCAGGCACCUUGUAGUCUAGCAGAGUAAGUUUGAUCAUUCCAUUCCACUGACAAGGAAACUCAGGCUCAACAAGGUGAUGCCUUUCCCAGGACAUGUGCUCCUGUUGCCCUGCCCCUCCUGGCAUAAUAUCCCACUUCCUGCUUGGUGGCUCAGGCCUGUCAGUCACACAGCUCGUGGCUUCCCCAUGAAGCAUCUCUUGGGUCUGUCUGUUUCUCUCUUCAUCCACACCUUCCUGGCCCAGGCUACCAUCAUAUCUUGCCAAGACAAGUGCAGCAGCCUCAGAAAUGUUCUCCCCUGCCUCCCCUUCAUGCCCCCAGGCAGCCAGGAUUUUUCUAAAAACUGUGCACCUGGGUGUGUCCCUUGCUGGCCCCAUGGCCUGCAGGGCUCAGGAUCAAGUUCCUCUUCCUUGAUGUGGGUCCUGGGUCCUUGGAGGCUGGU
rnacentral:lncRNA from 1 species